rnacentral:rRNA from 1 species
UGCGCAGGCGGACUUUUAAGUCAGUGGUGAAAUCCCGAGGCUCAACCUCGGAACUGCCAUUGAUACUGGAAGUCUUGAAUUUGGUUGAAGUGGGCGGAAUGUAGCAUGUAGCGGUGAAAUGCUUAGAUAUGCUACAGAACACCGAUCGCGAAGGCAGCUCACUAAACCAAUAUUGACGCUCAGGCACGAAAGCGUGGGGAGCAAACAGGAUUAGAUACCCUGGAGUCC